UAUUAAGCAAUGAUGAAGAGUAGUAAUCUAAUGGAACACUCUAGAGAGCUGAUGGCAGGUGCAAAUCAGUGUGAUUGUGUUAGAUGAAUGGACUUCUAAGCUUCCAAACCGAACCAAAAUAAUGCAGUAGGCUUUGGCGAAUUCGUCUCAUCGUUACCUGAGACAAAUAGCAGUGUGAGCAGUCUGCUAUUGUCAAAGUGAGUUGCAUUGCAGCUAAUAAAGGUGGUACCACGGUCCCUCGUCCUUUUC
rnacentral:ncRNA from 1 species